rnacentral:rRNA from 1 species
UACGGGGGGAGCAAGCGUUGUUCGGAUUUACUGGGCGUAAAGGGCGCGUAGGCGGUCGUGACAAGUCACUUGUGAAAUCUCCGGGCUUAACUCGGAACGGUCAAGUGAUACUGUCGGACUAGAGUACAGAAGGGGCAACUGGAAUUCUCGGUGUAGCGGUGAAAUGCGUAGAUAUCGAGAGGAACACCUGCGGCGAAGGCGGCGCUCUGGGCCGGUACUGACACUGAGGAGCGAAAGCGUGGGUAGCAAACAGG